rnacentral:rRNA from 1 species
UUGGUGAUUAAAUUUUUUAUUUUUAUAUAAAAUUUUUAUAAUUUUUUUGGUUUAAUAAAUUAUUUUAAAUAAAAAUUUAGUUUUAAUAAAAAAGAUUUUCUUCAAAAAUAGAAUAGAAUCUAGUUAUGAAAAAAAUAUUUAGGUAGUUUUAAAAACUUAAAAUAGAUGGCAGUAAAAUAUUCAAAUUAAGGAAUUUUGAAAAAUAAUUUGAUAAUCCUCAAUUUUAUUUACUUUAAAAAUUUUUAUGUGUGGUUGUUUAAAAAUAUUAUUAAUGAAGAAUUUGAAUUCAAAUUUUACGUAAUAUUUUAAAGGAAUUUUUAAAAUGUAUUUAAAAGUUUAUAAAUAAAUUAUACAAGAUAAUACUUAAAAGUAAUAUAUAACAUAAUAAAAAUGUUUUAUUUUAGGUUCAUAUUGUCCGUCACUCUCUAUUU